rnacentral:rRNA from 1 species
GGUUAAGCGACUAAGCGUACACGGUGGAUGCCCUGGCAGUCAGAGGCGAUGAAGGACGUGCUAAUCUGCGAUAAGCGUCGGUAAGGUGAUAUGAACCGUUAUAACCGGCGAUUUCCGAAUGGGGAAACCCAGUGUGAUUCGUCACACUAUCAUUAACUGAAUCCAUAGGUUAAUGAGGCGAACCGGGGGAACUGAAACAUCUAAGUACCCCGAGGAAAAGAAAUCAACCGAGAUUCCCCCAGUAGCGGCGAGCGAACGGGGAGCAGCCCAGAGCCUGAAUCAGUGUGUGUGUUAGUGGAAGCGUCUGGAAAGGCGCGCGAUACAGGGUGACAGCCCCGUACACAAAAAUGCACAUAUUGUGAGCUCGAUGAGUAGGGCGGGACACGUGGUAUCCUGUCUGAAUAUGGGGGGCCCAUCCUCCAAGGCUAAAUACUCCUGACUGACCGAUAGUGAACCAGUACCGUGAGGGAAAGGCGAAAAGAACCCCGGCGAGGGGAGUGAAAAAGAACCUGAAACCGUGUACGUACAAGCAGUGGGAGCACGCUUAGGCGUGUGACUGCGUACCUUUUGUAUAAUGGGUCAGCGACUUAUAUUCUGUAGCAAGGUUAACCGAAUAGGGGAGCCGAAGGGAAACCGAGUCUUAACUGGGCGUUAAGUUGCAGGGUAUAGACCCGAAACCCGGUGAUCUAGCCAUGGGCAGGUUGAAGGUUGGGUAACACUAACUGGAGGACCGAACCGACUAAUGUUGAAAAAUUAGCGGAUGACUUGUGGCUGGGGGUGAAAGGCCAAUCAAACCGGGAGAUAGCUGGUUCUCCCCGAAAGCUAUUUAGGUAGCGCCUCGUGAAUUCAUCUCCGGGGGUAGAGCACUGUUUCGGCAAGGGGGUCAUCCCGACUUACCAACCCGAUGCAAACUGCGAAUACCGGAGAAUGUUAUCACGGGAGACACACGGCGGGUGCUAACGUCCGUCGUGAAGAGGGAAACAACCCAGACCGCCAGCUAAGGUCCCAAAGU